AGUCCGUGGUGCGGGAAACAUUGGAGCAAGUCUUUGUACCUCUCAUAAGCAUCAUACAUGCUCUCGUCAUCAAACUACACAAAAGAAGAUAUAUCAUUUCUCAAUCU
rnacentral:snoRNA from 1 species